rnacentral:rRNA from 1 species
UGGGGAAUUUUGGACAAUGGGGGAAACCCUGAUCCAGCCAUGCCGCGUGCAGGAUGAAGGUCUUCGGAUUGUAAACUGCUUUUGUCAGGGACGAAAAGGUUUCGGCUAAUACCCGGAACUGCUGACGGUACCUGAAGAAUAAGCACCGGCUAACUACGUGCCAGCAGCCGCGGUAAUACGUAGGGUGCAAGCGUUAAUCGGAAUUACUGGGCGUAAAGCGUGCGCAGGCGGUUCCGUAAGAUAGAUGUGAAAUCCCCGGGCUUAACCUGGGAAUUGCAUUUAUGACUGCGGGACUGGAGUUUAUCAGAGGGGGGUGGAAUUCCAAGUGUAGCAGUGAAAUGCGUAGAUAUUUGGAAGAACACCAAUGGCGAAGGCAGCCCCCUGGGAUACGACUGACGCUCAUGCACGAAAGCGUGGGGAGCAAACAGG